rnacentral:rRNA from 1 species
CACGUAGGAGGCGAGCGUUGUCCGGAAUCAUUGGGCGUAAAGAGCGCGCAGGCGGCUUGGCAAGUCUGCUCUGAAAGCCCGGGGCUCAACCCUGGGAGGCGGGUGGAUACUGUCGAGCUCGAGUCCGGAAGAGGCGAGUGGAAUUCCUGGUGUAGCGGUGAAAUGCGCAGAUAUCAGGAGGAACACCAAUGGCGAAGGCAGCUCGCUGGGACGGUACUGACGCUGAGACGCGAAAGCGUGGGGAGCAAACAGG